UCACUAGAUCAACUGCAUAUGCUGUCCUGUCUAGUGUGCGAAAGAUAAAUUACCUCCCACCCAACCUCUGAUAUCUCCCUAAGUCAAUUAACUCCCUAACUACUGCUUGUAAUCUAUAAUUAGUUUCAAUAGGUGAUUUUACAGGCUUACAGCCUAACAUACAUGUUUAUUAUAAGAGGUCUAAAAUAUACUUCUGUUUUGAAAUGAAGAUUCCUUUGUCUAAUCUACAACCUCUAUCCCAUGGAGUACCUUAAUUUACCCAACUCUUUAAUCUAAAACUCAUAUGCCAAGUCCCAAUAGCUCUUUCAGAUGGGCAAUUUUCUCGUUAUUAUCUCCUAUUACAACUAUAUUAUCUACAUAAACAAUAAGCAAUGUGAUUUUACCUCUAUGUUUUUUUCAUGAAUAGGAUAUAAUCGGCAUUGCUUUAAUAGAAAUCAAAGGAAAUCACGGCCUUACUAAAUCUAUCAAAUUAUGCUCUUGGUGACUGCUUCAAGCCAUAUAGUGUCUUUGUCAAUCUACAGGCUUUUCCUUUGGUCUUUUCACUCUCAAAUCCUGGAGGGAUCUCCAUAUAUACUUCUUCUUCCAAAUCUCCAUGCAGAAAAGCAUUUUUCACAUCAAACUGCUGUAGGUCCCAUUCAAGGUUUGUAGCACAUGACAGUAAGAUCCUGAUUGUAUUCAUUUUAGCAACAAGCACAAAAGUCUCUAGAUAAUCCACCUUAUAUGUCUAAAUAAAUCCUUUUGCCACCAGCCUGGCCUUAUAUCUUUCAAUAGAACCAUCUGCUUUAUGCUUUAUAGUGAACAACCAGUUUCUUCCUCAGAGAAAGAGUAACAAGAUUCCGUGUCUCAUUUUUUGUUAAAGCCUUCAUCUCUUCUACCAUAGCUACCUUCCAAUUUGGAUCAAGGAAUGCAUCCUUCCAAUCCACAUAAUUCUUCAGGCUCAAAAUGUUCAAGAGCUGAAUCCAGAGGUUUUGACUGAUCAGUCAUAUCCUGCUCAAUGGUUGUAUUUAUCUUAUUCCGAUGAGUGUAGAUUCUUAAAUCCAAUCUAUUCAAUCCCCUGUGAUUUGAGGUUGGGGUUGAGGAACUA
rnacentral:misc_RNA from 1 species